GGGCCCUUAGCCUAGCCAGGAUAUGGCGCUGGUCUUCGGAACCGGAGGUCGCAGGUUCAAAUCCUGCAGGGCCCGCCA
rnacentral:tRNA from 1 species